AAAAACGUGUUUUUUUAAAUAUUUUUUUAUAAUAGUUUAAAAAACACACGGAUCUUUUCCAAUCCUAGAAAAUAUCUAACCCUCUCCUUCUCUUCUCUCUUCCUCAGCUAAAGGUUAGGAGUCAAGCCUAGUAAAGUUGUUACCUUUUCUAAACUUUCUUUCUUUAUUAUAAAUAUUUCUGGGUUUAUGGUUUGCUGCAGUUUUUUGGUGAGCAUGUUCUGUUCCAACUCACUCCAACCAGAACAAGAUGUGAACUGGUGAUAUUUGCUGCUGCUAGUGGACAACCACAUCUUCCAGAUCCUCAAGACCACCGGAGACGACAACACUGUCCUUGACCUCCUCGACAACUCGAACGACGUGUCGUAUCACUAUCAACCCGAGGUGUUGUACAGGGCAGCAACCAGUCUUUGAUGCCCUCUGUUGUUUAUCAUUUUUGAAGUUCAUUUAGGAAUUUGUGGGUGAUUUACCUUGUUUCAAAAUGUAGUUGUUUGGUUCUUGUUAAAAAAAGAUCAUGUCAUUGCAUUUGUCGGCUAUUUAGACUUUUUCAUGUUUGCAAUUUUAUUUAUUU